rnacentral:rRNA from 1 species
UACAGAGGUGGCAAGCGUUGUUCGGAAUUACUGGGCGUAAAGGGCGCGUAGGCGGCCAUCUAAGUCAGACGUGAAAUCCCCCGGCUCAACCUGGGAACUGCGUCUGAUACUGGACGGCUUGAGUUUGGGAGAGGGAUGUAGAAUUCCAGGUGUAGCGGUGAAAUGCGUAGAUAUCCGGAGGAACACCGGUGGCGAAGGCGGCUUCCUGGACCGACACUGACGCUGAGGCGCGAAAGCUAGGGGAGCAAACGGG